CGCGUAGGUGGUAGUGCAAGUCUGGGGUGGGAAUCCCAGGGCUUAACCCUGGAACUGCCUUGGAAACUGUAUUACUUGAGUCAGUGAGGGGAGGGUAGAAUUCCUGGUGUAGCGGUGAAAUGCGUAGAUAUCAGGAGGAAGGCCUGUGGCGAAGGCGGCCCUCUGGCGCUGAACUGACACUGAGGCGCGAAAGCGUGGGUAGCAAACAGGAUUAGAUACCCUGGUAGUCCACGCCCUAAACGGUGGGUACUAGGUGUGGGGCUCGUAAGGGUUCUGUGCCGAAGCGAAAGCAUUAAGUACCCCGCCUGGGGAGUACGGCCGCAAGGUUGAA
rnacentral:rRNA from 1 species